AGUCACUGACAUUAGAUACCCGGGUAGUCCCAGCCGUAAACAAUGUGCGUUAGGUGUGUCGGUAACCACGUGUUACUGAUGCGCCGAAGAGAAAUCGUGAAACGCACCACCUGGGAAGUACGGUCGCAAGGCUGAAACUUAAAGGAGUUGGCGGGGAGCACCACAACAGGUGGAGCCUGUCGGUUUAAUUGGAUUCAACACCGGACAUCUCACCGGAUAAGACAGCUGAAUGAUUGUCAAUCUGAAGGUUUUACAUGACUAGCUG
rnacentral:rRNA from 1 species